UGCCAGCCGCCGCGGUAAUACGAAGGGAGCUAGCGUUGUUCGGAAUGACUGGGCGUAAAGGGCGUGUAGGCGGUCAAGUAGGUGAGAUGUGAAAUACCUGGGCUCAACCUGGGAAUGGCAUUUCAAACGGCUUGACUAGAGUGUGAGAGGGGAAAGCGGAAUGGCCAGUGUAGCGGUGAAAUGCGUUGAUAUUGGCUAGAACACCAGAGGCGAAGGCGGCUUUCUGGCUCGCAACUGACGUUGAGGCGCGAAAGCUAGGGGAGCAAACAGGAUUAGAUA
rnacentral:rRNA from 1 species